rnacentral:rRNA from 6 species
CAUUACCGAGUUUACAACUCCCAAACCCCUGUGAACAUACCAAUUGUUGCCUCGGCGGAUCAGCCCGCUCCCGGUAAAACGGGACGGCCCGCCAGAGGACCCCUAAACUCUGUUUCUAUAUGUAACUUCUGAGUAAAACCAUAAAUAAAUCAAAACUUUCAACAACGGAUCUCUUGGUUCUGGCAUCGAUGAAGAACGCAGCAAAAUGCGAUAAGUAAUGUGAAUUGCAGAAUUCAGUGAAUCAUCGAAUCUUUGAACGCACAUUGCGCCCGCCAGUAUUCUGGCGGGCAUGCCUGUUCGAGCGUCAUUUCAACCCUCAAGCCCCCGGGUUUGGUGUUGGGGAUCGGCGAGCCCUUGCGGCAAGCCGGCCCCGAAAUCUAGUGGCGGUCUCGCUGCAGCUUCCAUUGCGUAGUAGUAAAACCCUCGCAACUGGUACGCGGCGCGGCCAAGCCGUUAAACCCCCAACUUCUGAAUGUUGACCUCGGAUCAGGUAGGAAUACCCGC